rnacentral:rRNA from 1 species
GACGAACGCUGGCGGCGUGCCUAAUACAUGCAAGUCGAACGCGAUGGCGGACGGGUGAGUAACACGUGAGUAACCUGCCCUUGACUUCGGGAUAAGCCCGGGAAACUGGGUCUAAUACUGGAUAGUUGGGGAUGGACUCGCGGCCUAUCAGUUUGUUGGUGGGGUAAUGGCCUACCAAGACGACGACGGGUAGCCGGCCUGAGAGGGUGACCGGCCACACUGGGACUGAGACACGGCCCAGACUCCUACGGGAGGCAGCAGUGGGGAAUAUUGCACAAUGGGCGCAAGCCUGAUGCAGCGACGCCGCGUGAGGGAUGACGGCCUUCGGGUUGUAAACCUCUUUCAGUAGGGAAGCGGUACCUGCAGAAGAAGCGCCGGCUAACUACGUGCCAGCAGCCGCGGUAAUUC